UACGUAGGGGGCAAGCGUUGGUCCGGAAUCAUUGGGCGUAAAGAGCGUGUAGGCGGCCCGAUAAGUCCGCUGUGAAAGUCCAGGGCUCAACCCUGGAAUGCCGGUGGAUACUGUCGGGCUCGAAUCCGGCAGGGGAGACUGGAAUUCCUGGUGUAGCGGUGAAAUGCGCAGAUAUCAGGAGGAACACCGGUGGCGAAGGCGGGGUCUCUGGGCCGAUACUGACGCUGAGGAGCGAAAGCGUGGGGAGCAAACAGG
rnacentral:rRNA from 1 species